UACGUAGGGUGCGAGCGUUGUUCGGAAUUACUGGGCGUAAAGCGUUCGCAGGCGGCGUGUUAAGUCAGGUGUGAAAGCCCCGAGCUUAACUGGGGAAUUGCGCUUGUGACUGGCGAGCUGGAGUGUGGCAGAGGGAGGUGGAAUUCCACGUGUAGCAGUGAAAUGCGUAGAGAUGUGGAGGAAUACCGAUGGCGAAGGCAGCACCCUGGGAUAACACUGACGCUCAUGCACGAAAGCGUGGGGAGCAAACAGG
rnacentral:rRNA from 1 species